rnacentral:lncRNA from 1 species
GUUAAACACGGGCCGGCCGCUGUGGCUCACGUCUGUACUCCCAGAGCCUUGGGAGGUCGAGGCGGGAAGAUCGCUUGAGCCCGGGAGCUCGAGACCAGACGCGGCAACAUGGCGAGACGCACAUCUCUGCCUUUAAAAAUGAGAGGCUGGCGGUUACCUUUCUUGGGGAGACGCGUCCGACUGCUUCAUUGUGGGGGCCUCAGGAGCGGAGGAUCGGGUCCCGCCCGAGGUGACGCGUAAACCCAGACUCUCAGCAACGCGGGUAGGAAGGACCCUUGAAGUUCCGCGGCGACCACGUCGGCUGAAACCAGCAGCCCAGGACAAGUGGACCAGCCAGCAAGACCCAGACCAUCCAAACCGGCUGAUCCUACGACAGGACCCAGAUGCCAGUGAAAGUGACCACAGCCCUGCUCUAGUCACCCCGGAAGCUGACCAGUCUACGCACGGCCGAAGCUUCGUCAAGGAAGUAAAUGUAGUUAGAAAUCUUAAGCCCAGUAAUUUUCCUUGUCAUC